rnacentral:rRNA from 1 species
AGCAGCCGCGGUAAUUCCAGCUCCAAUAGCGUAUAUUAAAGUUGUUGCAGUUAAAAAGCUCGUAGUUGAAUUUCGGGGUUAGCAGGUCGGUCGUGCCAUUGGUAUGAACUGGUCUCGCUGAUCCCUCCCUCUUGACGAACUGUGAUGCCAUUAAUUUGGUGUCGCAGGGAAUCAGGACUGUUACUUUGAAAAAAUUAGAGUGUUUAAAGCAGGCUCACGCUUGAAUACAUUAGCAUGGAAUAAUGAAAUAGGACGUUUGAUCCUAUUUUGUUGGCUUCUAGGAUUGACGUAAUGAUUAAUAGGGAUAGUUGGGGGCAUUAGUAUUCAAUUGUCAGAGGUGAAAUUCUUGGAUUUAUUGAAGACUAACUACUGCGAAAGCAUUUGCCAAGGAUGUUUUCAUUAAUCAAGAACGAAAGUUAGGGGAUCGAAGACGAUCAGAUACCGUCGUAGUCUUAACCAUAAACUAUGCCGACUAGGGAUCGGAUGAUGUUAAUUUUUUAAUGACUC